rnacentral:rRNA from 1 species
GACAGAGGGGGCAAGCGUUGCUCGGAAUUACUGGGCGUAAAGGGCGCGUAGGCGGGAUGGCAAGUCGGUCGUGAAAUCCCUCGGCUCAACCGAGGAACGUCGAUCGAUACUGCUGUUCUUGAGGAUUGCAGAGGAGACUGGAAUUCCCGGUGUAGCGGUGAAAUGUGUAGAGAUCGGGAGGAACAUCGGUGGCGAAAGCGCUCUACUGGACGGUAUCUGACACUGAGGGACGAAAGCUAGGGGAGCGAAUGGG